rnacentral:lncRNA from 1 species
UCAUCAAUUGUGAUGGAAAUUCUAUCUGUGUGGCGUUUGUCUCUCUCCAGGUUUCUCUGCCUGCCGGAUACCCAGGCUCACAUCUGCUCCAUGGCACACUUAUUGAAUAUAAUCUGAAAGAAAGUUGCUGGCAAUCUGGAGAAAGACGAACCCUUCCCGUUUCUGAGACGGAAGGACUUCUCAGAGGAAAGACGCCAGAGAUGGAAAGAUGUUAGAGAAACAGAAGAAUGAACUCGGCUGAACUAAGAAAGGCAGUCCUUGGCAGGAUGUGGGGAGGGUAGCGCCUCCGGCCAACACAAUAGGAUUCACCUGGGAGAGGGGCCAGCUCCGGAGAUUUCUGAGAGGCUCCUCCUCCAGAAGGAUCAGCCAGGUCCCAGCAGCUCAACCGGGCCAAGGUGCCGGAGCCCCUCGGACUCUGCAGACUGUCCAGUAGGGGGCACUGUCGCCUCCACACUGGCCGACCUCAAACACCUUCUGCUCCUGGUGUGCCCCUCCCCAAGGUCCUCCCCCAGGAGUGGAAGGCCGUCUCCAGCCCUGAAGAGACUCAAGGAUCCUACCUGUCUGCAAGCCACCCCAGGCUGGCCUACCUGGCAGAGCCUGGGUGACA